rnacentral:rRNA from 1 species
AGGACGAACGCUGGCGGCGCGCUUAACACAUGCAAGUCGAGCGAGAACCUGGCCUUCGGGCCUGGGGAAAGCGGCGAACGGGUGAGUAACACGUGGGUAACCCACCCUUGGUACCGGGAUAGCCCGAGGAAACUCGGAUUAAUACCGGAUGGCCCAACAGCUCUUCGGGGCGGUUGGAAAAGGUAGCUUCGGCCUCCGACCAAGGACGGGCCCGCGGCGGAUUAGCUUGUUGGUGAGGUAACGGCCCACCAAGGCGACGAUCCGUAGCUGGUCUGAGAGGACGAUCAGCCACACUGGGACUGAGACACGGCCCAGACUCCUACGGGAGGCAGCAGUGGGGAAUCUUGCGCAAUGGGCGAAAGCCUGACGCAGCGACGCCGCGUGGGGGAAGAAGGCUUUCGGGUUGUAAACCCCUUUCAGGAAGGACGAAGCCACUCGGGUGAAUAGCCCAGAGGGUGACGGUACUUCCAGAAGAAGCCCCGGCUAACUACGCGCCAGCAGCCGC